UACGUAGGCAGCAAGCGUUGUUCGGAGUUACUGGGCGUAAAGGCUGUGUAGGCGGUUAUUUAAGUUUGGUGGGAAAUCUCCCGGCUCAACCGGGAGGGUGCGCCGAAUACUGAAUGACUUGGAGUGCGGGAGAGGAAAGUGGAAUUCCUGGUGUAGCGGUGAAAUGCGUAGAUAUCCGGAGGAACACCGGUGGCGAAGGCGGCUUCCUGGACCGACACUGACGCUGAGGCGCGAAAGCUAGGGGAGCAAACGGG
rnacentral:rRNA from 1 species